GAAGGUAUAGCUCAGUGGUAGAGCGUGUGCUUAGCAUGCACAAGGUCCUGGGUUCAAGCCCCAGUACUGCCC
rnacentral:tRNA from 1 species